UAGGGAAUCUUCCACAAUGGACGCAAGUCUGAUGGAGCAACGCCGCGUGAGUGAAGAAGGUUUUCGGAUCGUAAAGCUCUGUUGUUGGUGAAGAAGGAUAGAGGCAGUAACUGGUCUUUAUUUGACGGUAAUCAACCAGAAAGUCACGGCUAACUACGUGCCAGCAGCCGCGGUAAUACGUAGGUGGCAAGCGUUGUCCGGAUUUAUUGGGCGUAAAGCGAGCGCAGGCGGAAUGAUAAGUCUGAUGUGAAA
rnacentral:rRNA from 1 species